CAAGAAUUGCUUGAACUGGGAGGUGGAGGUUGCAGUGAGCUGAGAUCUUGCCACUGCACUCCAGGCUGGGCAACAGAGUAAGACUUUCAUAAAUAAAUACAUACAUACAUACAUACAUAAUUGUUCAGUAUAAUCCUAUGUUGUCAUUGUUUUCUUUUUAUUUAUUUAUUUAUUGCUUUUUAGAUGGAGUUUUGCUCUUGUUGCCCAGGCUGGAGAGCAAUGGCAUGAUCUUGGCUCACCGCAACCUCUGCCUCCCGGGUUCAAGCGAUCCUCCUGCCUCAGCCUUCCGAGUAGCUGGGAUUACAGGCAUGCGCCACCAUGCCCGGCUAAUUUUGUAUUUUUAGUAGAGACGGGGUUUCUCCAUGUUGGUCCAGCGCUGGUCUCAAACUCCUGACCUCAGGUGAUCCAGCCACCUCGGCCUCCCAAAGUGCUGGGAUUACAGGCGUGAGCCACCACGCCCAGCCUUGUUGUUUUCUUUUUAAGAGGGUGGGGAGAGGCAGAGGCAAGUGGAAUUGGAACCAGGACCUAAAGUCGGCUCCUUUUGCAGCUUGGCUUCUGGGUGGGGUUGAUGUCUGAGGGUGGGACCCCAGGGAUCCAAGACAGAAGAAAAGCCAGUGUUUCCACUCCCACCUCGCCCUCACCCCAGACAAGCAGGUGAUCAGAGGCAGCAACCGGAACUAGUUCUCACCCAAAACUAGUAAACAGGAAUCCUACAUCGAAAUGAGCCCAUCUUCUUUACACCAAGGUUGAUUCUCCUUACACCUUGUGCACCUUCCCUGGAGCUAUGGUUUAAAUGUUCCUGCCAAAACUCAAGUUGAAAUUUAACUGUCAAUGUAAUGGUAUUAACGAUGGGAACUUUAAGAGGAGAUUAAUGCUCCUAUCUCAGGAGUGGAUUAGUGAUCUCAAGAAUGGGCUUCAGAAAAAAGGACAAGUUCAGCCCCCGUUUGAUCUCUCUGUCUAGUGUGCUCACUCCGCCUUCCACCUUCUGCCAUGGGAUGACCCUCCCCAGACGCUGAUGCCACGUUUUUGGACUUCUCUGCCUCCAGAACUGUGAGAAAUAAGUUUCUUUUUUUAUAACUUACCCAGUCUGUAGUAUUCUGUUAACAGCAGAAAACAUCAGGUGAGGCCAGAACUCUGAUGCCGCCCUUGACAUCACCUUAGUUCCCUCCUGACUGGAUCAGUAUGAUGUCAAAUUAAUUGCAAUGGUGGGUACUUACUAAUUUGCAUUUACUUUUCAUUACAACAUAUCCCACAGGAUUCCAGGGACCUGGGAUGGUCUGUAUUCUUGGCAGUUCUCAAGAUCUACGAGUCUUAUUUCCUGUUAACUUUUUUCCUUUUGCUUGAUCCUAUCGGGCACAUGGAUCUUCCUAAAGUUUUGAUUCUGUAAUUAGUGCUACCAUAAAAAACUGUACAAUUUUGGAGAGUGUUUU
rnacentral:lncRNA from 1 species